UCCCAGUUAUGAACAGUUGUUCAUCAGGACUAAAUGCAAUGUUAGUUUGAGCAUAUAAUUAUUUGGGAGAUCAUCGAACACUUUCAAGGGUUCUUUCAUCUGGCGCAAAUCCCAAACCUAUGAAGCCAAGUCAAGAUAAUAUAUACAUCAGAGAAGAUGAAUGCCGGUGUACAUAUUUCGUGCCCAGUCAAACUACAUCACAAAAAUUGAGAUCGAGGAGUACUUUAUGUUCCUUCUAUAAAAUUGGCAGAUUUACUGACAUGAUAUUUUGUUGAACAGGACGCCCAGCCUCGUAAUAUUAUCAUCUUAUGGAAGGCUAUUGUUGAAGCAUUUAACAUGUUUUAAUACUUAAAGUUCAAAAGGUAAUUUUUAGCAUGUCAGCGCGCA
rnacentral:lncRNA from 1 species